rnacentral:lncRNA from 1 species
GUUUUCAAAGUAAAAAUAGUUCUCUAUGACCAAGUACUUAAAUAUAAUUUAAUACUCAUCUAAAGCCUUUGCAGCUUCAGAAGUGGAGAAAGUUUUAGCCGCGUAUCUUUAUAUCUCCUGGUUUCUCACUGAAUUGGCUUGAGUUGCCUAUGCUGGCAGAAGGUUGACAUUGGGCGACCAAUUGCUUUGGGCUCAUCAGUGCGUUGAAUUAGUUGUUGAAUGGCGAGAGAUUUGCUGGGGCAGCCCUGUGAAUGUGUUCUAUGACUGAGCAACCUCCUUAGCCUUCAAAAUAGAAUUUUUGAUGUUGGAAAUUCCAUACUAAAAGGAAGCCUUAAGUAAGAAUAGCUUGUUAAUUAUGU